GACAGAGGGUGCAAACGUGGUUCGGAAUUACUGGGCGUAAAGCGUGUGUAGGCGGUCUCUUAAGUCGGAUGUGAAAGCCCCGGGCUCAACCCGGGAAGUGCACUCGAAACUGGGAGGCUAGAGUACUGGAGAGGUUGGUGGAAUUCUCGGUGUAGAGGUGAAAUUCGUAGAUAUCGAGAGGAACACCGGUGGCGAAGGCGGCCAACUGGACAGAUACUGACGCUGAGACACGAAAGCGUGGGGAGCAAACAGG
rnacentral:rRNA from 1 species